GACUAUGAUCUAAACAAUUUGAAUCCAUAACUUUACAUUUGAGAACUUGUAGAUGAUAUGAAACUUUUGUCAGCUUUUAGACAUAUUUUUUAAAGCCCUGCUGAUGAAAGAUGUAGCUUCCAGUGUUUUCUCCAGUAGAGUUAAUGAACUAGAUGGAAAAUAUCUCAUUAAUUUCUUAAGUCCCCUUGUGAGGCAAAAAAAUGACAUUCUUAUCUAACAGCUGGAAAAGCUGAAGAAUUAGUGGAUGUAACUGUGCUCAACUGCAAAGGAAAGAAAUAGCUUUAGUAUACCCUGAGAUGUGGAUAUGAAAGAAUAUUGCAUACACACAUACACUCUCCCUUAUUUUUAAGGAAUCAAUAUCUGCUUAAAGAAUAAGGCUAGUUAAAACCCUUGGAUCUUGGCCCUAUAACUUUUGGCAGAGUAUAUUAUUGCUUCAUGACCUGGCAGUGCAGUGACUCUUUUAAUUUACUUUUAAAUAGCUUUUCCCUAAUCUAUACAACCUAACAUCUGACCAAUAGUGAAUCUUCAGCAAACUUAAGUCUCUUAUUCCAUACAUUUUUUUAAAACUGUAAAAAUUCAGGAAAUAACUUUUUGCAAAGUACAUUGAAGCACUUACUGGGAAGCAAAAAAGCACAAGUUGAAUUGAUUUAUAGUUGCAUAAAAACGAAUUUGACAUUUUACUUAGAAGUUGCAAACCACCGCAUGGUUUUGAGUUUUUGAAUUCAUUUGCUUUGCAAAAAGUGGAAUGUUUCACUUGAAUGGAAAUGCCCUCAAGUUACUUCCAGCAUGGCUGUAGGAUUGAUUUUUCUGGGUUAAGGGAGAACCAAAGUUUAGUGCCCUGUGUAUAUUCUUUUCUAAAAAAACAAACUAUCAUCCAUGUAUUUAAAUGGACGUAGGAAAUUCAAGAACAAAUCAGGGAAAUUUAACAUCAUUUCAGUAUUACCAACAUAGGGCUUUGUGUAACGACUGUGACAUCAAGCUUUAAACAGAUAAGGCUUUACCUCGGCUAGUCCAAUAGAAAUACAGUAUGUAAAUUAACCCAUAUUAUCUGUAUGCUGAUUGGCCUGAGUUCCCCUGAAUGUCACAAUCUCACCAUCCAGCAAUGAGGUAUUUUACUGCCGUCUCGAGAUCAGAUUAUCACUGUAGAGAAGAUUUUUAUUUUUUGUUUCAUUAACAGAUUAUUAUAAAGCAAUAAGCAUGCAGAAAAAGAAGCAGACGUGUUACAUUGGGAAUUAAUGAAAGCAUGUCUGCUAGUUUUGGAUAGGAGAACUGGGGAGUUCUUGCUUAAAAUUUUAUAUCAUCCCCACAAACAAAACUCUUCGGGAAUGGUAAAUAAGAAAAUGCAUGAUUCUAGAGGCAUUCCUAAGCACCCACGUGUCAGGCUAUGUGGUGUCUGUGGUAUCAUCCGACCUUUUGGACUGGUGUAAGUUUUACGUAUUCGUUAUGUUUCUAGUAUUUUUCAUCUGUAAUAACAAAGGGGAAAAAAGGAAACUUGUACAGAUAACUGCUUUGACAUCACCCAUCAUUGGUCAGCUGAACUUGCAAGAAGGGAAAAGGAAUACUGUUGCUUGGUGGGGUGGAAUGCCAGGAAUAGCCAUUUAAACAUUUUAUAAGCCUGAUUCUUUAGUGACAUCCUUUAAGGUAGACUGAAUGUAAAUCAUAUUGUAGUUGUCCUCUGAACUUAGCUUUCUCCCUACUUUUACGCAUAUUUGCGUGCACUGGAGAAUAGAAGAUGACUAACAAAGACAGAGCUGCCCUAACUUGCCUCCCUUCUUCCCCAUUGAAAAGAUUUUUUGACUAUGGGGAAAAUAAAUAAAUAAAUAACUUUUUUCUUUUUUCCCAUUCUUUUCUUGUCUUUUUCCAGCCAACCUGCAAAUUUAAAGGUUAGCUGGAGACAUCAUUUAAAAAAAAAAAAAAAAA
rnacentral:lncRNA from 1 species